GACGAACCGUCCAAACGUUAUUCGGAAUUAUUGGGCUUAAAGGGUGCGUAGGCUGUGCAGUAAGUUGGGUGUGAAAUCCCUCGGCUCAACCGAGGAACUGCGCCGAAUACUGCUGUGCUAAAGGAAGAUAGGGGUAAGCGGAACUGAUGGUGGAGCGGUGAAAUGCGUUGAUAUCAUCAGGAAACGCGGUGCGAAGGCGGCUUACUGGAUCUUUUCUGACGCUGAUGCACGAAAGCUAGGGGAGCGAACCGGGAGUUAG
rnacentral:rRNA from 1 species